rnacentral:lncRNA from 1 species
CUCUGCUGCAAAGAAAACUCCACCUACUCAGCGCUGCUAAUGUAGUCACUGACAGUGCAAGCGUUCUUCCUCCCUCGCUCUUUCCUGCUCUCUGUUGCGCUCUCUCCUGCUUCUCUCUCUCCUGCUCACACUCUCGCUUUCCCUCGUUCUCUCCUACUCCCCUCCUCUCACUCCCUCUCUCGCCUUUUCCCUGUUCUCUCUCGCACACACACUCUCUCACACACACAAACAAACACACUCUCUCUCUCAUAGCUCCAGUCCCAAAUAAAUAAAGAGGCACAGAAGGAUGUGGGGGAAAGAGAGAGGUUGCUGCUUUAGCAAGAACAAUGUUGAUGCAACCCAACCUUCUUAAUCUCCUACCUGCUUUGGAAAACGUGUGAGGAUUAAAGGCGCGUGGCGGUGUUCACACUGGGAUUUCUACAUCACAAAAAGAUGCUCAGUUCUCCCUCUCCUGCCCAAGCCACAGAAAAGGGGACUACUGUUGAGCACUUGUAUCCUCCUGUUUCAGUUCUACCUGCCUAACAGUCAGCCCUGCACAGCCACCGGAGGCAAUGACAGCCUUGCUGCUCUAGAGCCCCAUGGAGCACAGUCCGCUGCUGGAUUCCAUGCUUUUGUAGAUAUACAUUAGAAGGAAUUCCUUCUUAGAAGCCAAACCGAGAGAAAAGAAACACUGGCUGCUCAUCAGCUCUAUGGUUUUCUGACUUGUCCAAGACUGUGAUUUUUGGCAUCUGACUAAGAGGCAAGGCAACCACCAUCUCCAUCAUUGCUAGCUGUCAGGCAGGCGAACAGACAGGAAGGAUAGGAGAGCGCAAGCAAGCCAGUGACUCAGCUCCCGUAAUUGGGUCAGAGGCAAAGAAUCCCAGUGGAGAGAGAGGAGCCGGCCAGGCAGAGACAGCCAGGGUUGUUCGUCACUCCAGUGCCUUUUUUUGUUGGCGUUUUAAUAGGAUCCCCAUUAGCUGUUGCAAAAGCAGCAGCUACUCUUCCUGGGGUCCACAUGAAACAUGACAUAAUACAGAACAUUAAUAGACAAUAACAGCUUAAGGACAGAACUACAUAAACUAAAAUUAAAAUGGCACAUGUAGCCUACAAUAUCAAUACCAAAACAUACACACAAACUAUCUAGGUCAAAUAGGGGAGAGGCGUUGUGCCGUGAGGUGUUGCUUUAUCUGUUUUUUUUAAACCAGUUUUGCAGUUCAUUUGAGCAAUAUGAGAUGGACCGGAGUUCCAUGCAAUAAUGGCUCUAUAUAAUACGGUACGCUUUCUUGAAUUUGGUGACUGUGAAAAGACCCCCGGUGGCAUGUCUAGUGGGGUGUGUGUGUGUGUGUCAUCGCUGUUGACUAUGCAAACAAUUUGGGAUUUUCGAC